rnacentral:tRNA from 1 species
UCGGGAAUCGGCUAACGGUAGGCUCCCUGACUUUGAAUCAGGCGGUGGAGGUUCGAAUCCUCCUUCCCGAA